UGGGCUUCAUCGGUGAAGAAUUGAUGUUGAGGCCGUGCGAUCGAUGUUACGGCCGACAGAUGGAUUCUCCUAGGAUAUUGUAUUUCUAUCUGGAAGGCUAUAUGGCUCUGGAUUGGGUCCUCUAAGUGGCUCAAAGUUCUUACCAUAAGUCCAUGGUUUCACGAGAAGUCAAUCAGCAAUCACUGUAUCCAUACCAUCAUCGGGAUGGUCCCCAAGGUGGGACUUGAAAUAAUUGUUAGGCCAAAUUGGGGUGUCUACAGAUGCCCCUCUUUGACUGAACUUAGAAGGAUCGCGAGACAUGUUUAAGUAAGAGUCAAAGCUGUAAAAGCAACUCAAUUUGGUCCAACCACUAUUCCAAAGGUUUUUUGAAAAAGGUUUUUGUUAUGGUCGAGCCAGGAGGUUGGCUACGUAUUCCACAAGGGAAAUUCAAACCAACCGUAGUUCGGAGGCAAUAAAGAAGUUCAGAGGGUUAGGGACAGAAGAUGUACCUUCGGGCUUUAAAAGCCAUAGUGCAACGUAUCUGGGUUAUACCAGGAUUUUGGUGGAGAGUAGUUAAAGAAGCACGGAGGUGCCGAGGAAGUAUUAACGGAGAGCAUCCUCAGUAUUUUGGGGUAAACCAGUACAUGGUGGGUGAGUCGAUUGCUUUUCAUAAUCAUAUCCUUACUUUGACUGAGGGGAAUUCGGUUGGGUAGCCUAUCCUUGUGAAUGAGCUAGAUGGAAUUGAUAUAAUUGUUCGAAACCAUCUGUUGAGGAUGAAUCGGACGCCGAUUUUUGAGAUAUGGCGGCACGGGACUAAUGUAGAGACCCAUAAUUAUUUUCUCAAAUUUUAAAUGUUUAAUAUGUAUUUGGAUUAUCAAAGUGUGUAUAACAAUGUGGAUAUGAGUUGGGUCAAUGUGAGAUGACUUGUAAGUUGUGGGAGUUGACGUGAUACAAUAGGAGUGAAAGGGUGAAAGUGUUAUUUGUGCUAUAUAAGUCAAAAAAAAAAAAAAAAGGGGAGCAGGAGAUUAUUUUUCUCUCUUUUCCUUUCCUUUCUUUUCUUCUUCUCCAGCAUCUCUCUCGGCUCUCACCUCUCUCACCUUCUCUCUUCGAUUUCAUCGACCACGAGUGAGACUUUUGAAAAAUCCCAAGUACUAAAGUUGUUCUACGCGACGAGAGCUUCCUAUCCAUCGAAGAAAAUUCACGAUCGGAGCACUUCGAAGUUUCCUCCAUGUUCGGGCUUGCUUCUAACCUUCGAGGUACUCGCCAUGGCACUUAGCUUGGAUUGCAUGGAGUGCACAUUGAGACGUCUCUUGAGAGCUUUAUUGGUAUCAUAAAGGAAGUGUUUAUCAUCUAGUCUAAUUCAUGUUGUGUACUUUACUCGCAAUGGAAAGUUGUACUUUUUGAUUAGAAUAUAUGUAAAGCUAUGUGUAAAUUCCUCUCCUUGAUCAUUAUGGAACUCAUUUAAUUGUAAACGUUUGGGAGACUUUAUGUAAAAAAAAAAAAAAAAAAUUUAGAGAGAAGAAGAAGAGACUUUGAUUCUUUA